CAUCAUUUUGUUGUUGUUUUUUAUCUCCGGUCUAGACAGGCUAGACUUAGAUUUAGUAUCUUAAUACGGUAUAUGUAUUUUAUACAUCACCUAAUUACAAUUUUAACAACCAAUUAAUAGAUAGAUCUAUAGAUAUAUAUUAAUCCGGUCUUAUAGAAGAUCGUUACGGCUUUCAUUAAUACAUGCCAUUGUAUGUGUAUUUGUUUGAUAGAACUACACAUAUUUAUAAGAACUGAUCGUUACAAAAUAUAUUGGCAAAAUUUGUCUUCGGAAAAAUCGUCCCGACGUGGUCAGAAAGAGUUAUCCCCCUUGGCCGGCAUAGCGAUCGGUUUUCGAUCAAACAUUUAUCGAUACUGAGAUGGAGAACGUCAACGUGCCUGCUGACCCUGCACAUGACGCAUGUUUGUAUUCUAUGGUAUCCAAGUGGGCUGUGUCCUGCCACAUUCAGGAAAUUUGAGGUGCAACCCUUGUAGGAAAUCAGGAGGAACAUGUUAGAUAUUUACCACUUGAUGAGACCCACCAGCGUGGAAAUGGUGCUGACAAGCCAAGGAAAAUAAUCAUGGUUUCCCUGUCCAGUUACAAGAAGCCUGGUGUAAAUAGCUUGUUUGGUCCAGUUGCACCCAACAAAGGGCAACUACCAUGCUGUAAUGAAACUUGAUGGUAUCAGUUUACACCAACGCUAAACUACAUAUACAGCUCCCAAUACAGUGUGCUUUGAGAAGGGAGAGCAACUAUGCCCUGUACGUUUCUGGAAAGAAGAAGUGUUGAGAAGAAGAGUUCUGUGUUGAAGUCAGCAUUGACAUCCUGAGUAGUGAAAAGAUCAGCAGGGAGUAGCAUCAGUUCGCUACUGUGUGGUGGGACAGUGUUUCUCCCUAUACUCAUGGACAGUACUGUACAUCUAAACAUAUGAUUCAUAUUAUAUAUUGUUUCAUAAUGUGAGGUGUGUUUUUUUCAUUCAAAAUAUCAAUUAUCAUAUAUGGUGAAUUUAGCAUCUUACAAAUAUACUGUGCAUGGAAUUUCUUCACUGACACUGUUUUCAGCAUUUUGAGGCAAAACUCUUUUCAUGUGUUACAUUUAUGUUUAUUGUUUCCUCAACAAUAAAGAACUAGCAAAAUGA